GACGAACGCUGGCGGCGUGCUUAACACAUGCAAGUCGAACGGAAAGGCCCUGCUUUUGUGGGGUGCUCGAGUGGCGAACGGGUGAGUAACACGUGAGUAACCUGCCCUUGACUUUGGGAUAACUUCAGGAAACUGGGGCUAAUACCGGAUAGGAGCUCCUGCUGCAUGUUGGGGGUUGGAAAGUUUCGGCGUUUGGGGCUGGACUCGCGGCUUAUCAGCUUGUUGGUGGGGUAGUGGUUUACCAAGGCUUUGACGGGUAGCCCGCCUGGGAGGGUGGCCGGGGUCCAUGGGCCUAAGGGACGGAGCAGAAGCGAACGGGCGGCAGAAGGCGGGAACCUGGCGGAGUGGGGGUGAGCCAGAUGUAGAAAUGUCGGGUUCGGGAUGAUGGGCUUUGGGGGGAAAACCACUGUGUAAGUUGAUGAGGCGGGAGUGACGGUAACUGGUAAAGAAGCAACGGCUAACUACGUG
rnacentral:rRNA from 1 species